rnacentral:rRNA from 1 species
GUCCAGGGGGCCGCCUUCGCCACCGGUAUUCCUCCAGAUCUCUACGCAUUUCACCGCUACACCUGGAAUUCUACCCCCCUCUACAAGACUCUAGCCUGCCAGUUUCGAAUGCAGUUCCCAGGUUGAGCCCGGGGAUUUCACAUCCGACUUGACAGACCGCCUGCGUGCGCUUUACGCCCAGUAAUUCCGAUUAACGCUUGCACCCUCCGUAUUACCGCGGCUGCUGGCACGGAGUUAGCCGGUGCUUCUUCUGCGGGUAACGUCAAUUGCUGAGGUUAUUAACCUCAACACCUUCCUCCCCGCUGAAAGUACUUUACAACCCGAAGGCCUUCUUCAUACACGCGGCAUGGCUGCAUCAGGCUUGCGCCCAUUGUGCAAUAUUCCCCACUGCUGCCUCCCGUAGGAGUCUGGACCGUGUCUCAGUUCCAGUGUGGCUGGUCAUCCUCUCAGACCAGCUAGGGAUCGUCGCCUAGGUGAGCCAUUACCCCACCUACUAGCUAAUCCCAUCUGGGCACAUCUGAUGGCAAGAGGCCCGAAGGUCCCCCUCUUUGGUCUUGCGACGUUAUGCGGUAUUAGCUACCGUUUCCAGUAGUUAUCCCCCUCCAUCAGGCAGUUUCCCAGACAUUACUCACCCGUCCGCCGCUCGUCAGCCAAGAGCA